UCAGCGUACCAUUUGACUUCAGUGACUCUAGCACGUUAUCGUCUCACAUACUUCCCUAUUGCAGCGUAUUUUGAGCUUUGUGGAGUGGGACUGACAGCCUCCGCGGGCCCCUGAGCAAGGAUUUUUGCUAUGUCUUCAAAUUCACAAUUACAAGAAUGCUGUGGCCUGACUGCUCUUGUCUUCAAGAAAGUGGGACAAUGGGUGGAAGCAAAUCAGAACUUUGUGUCCGAGUCAAGCUCUGAAUUUGUAGAAGUUAGAUUUUGAUCUGACUCUGAAUCUAAAUGUUGAAAUCCAGAUCUAUUUCUUUGGGUAGAUCACCAGGUGUAAAUCAGCAUUGUUCCAGUAGUGUUAAUUAAAACAGUAAUUGAAUCCCGUGUGAAAUAAUGAGUAUCAUUCUCCAUGGUCACUUUCUCAACCAAUGAAAAUUGAGA